UAAAGCUCUGACCUUCGGGGAAGAGUGCAUUUAUUAGAACAAAACCAAGCGGCUUCGGCUGUUUUCGGUUGACUCAUAGUAACUGAGCUGAUCGCAUGGUCUUGCACCGGCGACGUGUCGUUCAAGUAUCUGCCGUAUCAACUUUCGAUGGUAGUGUAUCUGACUACCAUGGUGAUCACGCGUAACGGAGAAUAAGGGUUCGACUCCGGAGAGUUCGCCUGAGAAAUCGCGAACACAUCUAAGGAAGGCAGCAGGCGCGAAAAUUACCCACUCUCAGCACGAGGAGGUAGUGACGAAAAAUAACGAGACUGUUCUCUUAUGAGGCCAGUCAUCGGAAUGGGUACAAUUUAAACCCUUUAACGAGUAUCUAUGAGAGGGCAAGUCUGGUGCCAGCAGCCGCGGUAAUUCCAGCUCUCAAAGUGCAUAGAAUUAUUGCUGCGGUUAAAAAGCUCGUAGUUGGAUCUGUGCCAUAGGACUGGGUCUACCUUCGGGUCAGUACUCAGCUCCUAGGCUUUUUGUCGGUUUUCCCGUCGUAGCCUUCGCUGGUUGCGGCGGGUGGCUGACGAGUUUACUUUGAGAAAAUCAGAGUGCUCAACACAGGCGUCUAGCUUGAAUGAUUGUGCAUGGAAUAAUAGAAAAGGAUUUCGGUCCCUCUUUAU
rnacentral:rRNA from 1 species